UACGGGGGGAGCAAGCGUUGUUCGGAAUUACUGGGCGUAAAGGGUGCGCAGGCCGCACGGGCAGUCAAAUGUGUAAUUCAGGGGCUCAACCCCUGCACUGCGCUUGAUACUUCCGUGCUCGAACCUUGGAGAGGAGUCUGGAAUUCUCGGUGUAGCAGUGAAAUGCGUAGAUAUCGUGAGGAAGACCAGUGGCGAAAGCGAAUCUCUGGACAGAUCCUGACGCUGAUGCACGAAGGCUAGGGGAGCAAACGGG
rnacentral:rRNA from 1 species